CUCUCGUUGCAGUAGACAAUGGGAUAGUCGACGAUUUGCGCGUUGGCCAGCAGGAAACUGCUGUCGGCUGCAAGGAAAGAAGAAACGUAUGAGAGACAAAGAUAAAGAAAUAACCAAGAGAAAAUGCAAGACACGAGCAGCCGCCAUUGAUUUAAUUGCAUAAUAUAUAUAUAUAUAUAUAUAUAUAUAUAUAUACAGACACACCGAACCUACUUGCCAAGCAACACCAGUCGAAAUUUAAUUCCCUAGUGAAAUUCGCGACUCGGUCAUGAACAGUAAAGAGUGAGUGAAUGAGAAAAGAGAAAAAAAUGUAAUGAGAAUAGAAGAAAACGCAAAAGCUAUAUACAUAUAUACGUAUAAAAUCGUAUGGAGUAUUUUCAAGGAGCGAUCUUCCCGCGCAAUUUGGCAGCUUCAUAAAAGUCCAAGUACUUCGGCAGGGUUACCGCAGAACUUGUCGGCCAUUGUGGUACGGCAAAACACAGCCUCGCGAACCUACAAACUGCACGAACUCAUUUCAAGGGACAAGGGUAAUCAGAGUUUCUAGGUAAAAGCGCCACGGUACGCGGAACCGAAGCUCGAGGAAGUAAAUAUCUAGGAAAGAAAAAGCAAGAUGGCGUCGCUCGCUCUGUUAUGCCAAUGAAUACCCAAAGGGGUUCUGGUACCCCGUUAAAACUGGACACAAUGAAGUCUUUGGUGAUCGGAUGUCCUUUCAACGGGACGAGCGUUACUGCAUUCAUCGCCUAGAGUACUAGUCAAGGGUGCCAACCACUGAGGUAUAAAACAAAAAUCGGGAACGAUCGUAUAGAGGUGGUAGCGACCCCCGACGAGAUAACGUUUCCUAGGAUACGAAGUGCCAGGUAAAAAUACACCAUAGAAACAACCAUCCUGGAUCCCAGUUGUUGAUUGACAUUCUCACUACAGUGGCCCGACUCGACGGUCUUAUGGACAGCAACAAAAGGAUGAACUGAAACAAAGCCGCAGUUUUGAUUGUUUCCAAACUCCUGGAAGAAUUACAACUUGGAUAGGAUAAACGGAUGACGUUGUAAAAGGACACUUGGGAUCCAGCUUAAAAAAAAACUGAUCUCACAUCAUGUCUUCUUUCUUGCCGCUUAUACAGGAGUGGACGCUUUCAGUGGGUUGGAUCUUAGGGAUAUCGGACUUAAUCGAAGGCAAUUCGAGGGAGGACGUCAAACGUUAAAUGAUGAACGUGAAAGAAAUAACCUGGCAGCCUGUUGCGGGGGUUCAGUCAUUUCAAAAGACAGCCUCAAGUCGAUGAGAAAGAAGCUACUUCGUAUAAAGCGCUAUUUGAGGAUCGUGAUACCUUGGAGAUGAGAUAACGACCGACUACCGGUGAUAAGAGACCAGAAAAGGAACCCGAAGAUAGGUACCUGCACAAGGUUGCUAAUCACGAAGUGGAAGUUGGAUGACGUCGAGGAAGGGCAAAGUCCCCGGAAAGAGGUUACCCCGUUUCCUGGCUGGUGUCACGCCCUGGCCUUAACGACACUUCACUACGUAGAGACCCGUUUGCUUUUACCAGGGUGGGGUUUUUGGCACGCUACUUCACUUCUGACAGUUUCUUUAUUUUUUAUUUAUCUUUUUCUUUUCGUUCUCUCUAUUCUCUUCCUCUAAUCGAUCCUCCACGGCUCGCACUGGUUGACACCUUCUACGAGAGCAACGUGAUCGUUUACGUAUUUCAGUAUAUAUUUUGUGUACACGUUACUCGAGAACACCAGUCUCAUCCCGAGUCCCCUAGGACACAUUUCCUGGUGCGCGACGAAGACGUCCUUCGCGUCGAGGGUAUUCCAGCGUUCCUGACAAUUUCAUAGUAUUCGUGAAUACGACGUGGCCUGAUACGAAGAGUCUGAUAACACCGCCGAAGGACUCAUAAAUAAGAAUUUGAUACCAGACUGUACUACUGAUUACGUAGAAGAACAGGGGUAAACUUGGAGUACAGGAAUUCCCAGAGGGUGGCACGUGCUAUAAAAAAAAGGCAACCAUGUACAUCCAUACAUUAUACGUCCAAGCACACCGUGACCCCUUCUAUAAUUUAUUCAUAGACAGUCUGAUUGAACUCUUUCAUCUCAGGUGAAAUGGCCAUCCCUUUGAUAACACCAAAAUCAUUCCAGCCACCCACCCUUCCCUAGUAUCCCUCAAGUAUUCCAGUAUCCUUCAAGACUCCCAUACGCAGAGGGUAUCGCGCAGCAGCGAUAAACUGUACGAUUUCACGAAAUUCUUGACGCAUCCUCAAAUUAUACCUGGUGUCAAAUAAAUAAAAUAUAUAAAU